rnacentral:lncRNA from 1 species
UUGUAACAAAUGGCAAUGGAUUUUCAGCACAAACCUAACACUCAUAACACUACAGUAACAGUAAUCAUCUACUUUCAGCAAGGAAGACUCCUUUAAAUAAGGAAAGAGUUACAUUCAUUAUCCUAAAUAUUCACUGAUCAAUGUGCAGUGACAAGUGUCGGGCUAACAGACACACAGACGGACAGAAAGACCAGCCACCCUCUCGGCACAGGCCAAGAGACCCAGAGCCUAUGCUGGACCUUCUGAAGAGGCCCAUGUGUCCAAAAAAAAAAAAAAAAAAAAAAAAAGAGUUUGU